rnacentral:rRNA from 1 species
AGCCUUAAGAUAAUUAUUUAAGGUCAGACCUGCCCAGUGUAAAUAAAAUGAAUAAAUGGCCGCGGUACUUUGACCGUGCUAAGGUAGCGCAAUCAAUUGGUUUUUAAAUGGAGCCAGGUAUGAAUGGAGUUACGGGGUUUUUCUGUCUCCGAGCUAAUUUAUCGAAGUUACUAUAUAGGUGAAAAAGCCUAUAGUAAGAAAAAGGACGAGAAGACCCUUAGAGUUUUUUUUCAAAGCAGUUUGGUUGGGGCAACAUGGGAACAAAUUUCCAUUUAUCGAGUAUUUUAGAAGUAAAUAAACUACCUUAGGGAUAACAGCAUAAUUUUAUAAAUAAGUUUGUGACCUCGAUGUUGGACUGGGAAACUAGGAGGUUAGCCGCCUUCUAGGUAAGUUCUGUUCGAACUAUAAUUCCC